rnacentral:rRNA from 1 species
UACGUAGGCAGCGAGCGUUGUUCGGAGUUACUGGGCGUAAAGGGUGUGUAGGCGGUUGUUUAAGUUUGGUGUGAAAUCUCCAGGCUCAACCUGGAGGGGUCAUUCGAUACUGCCGUGACUAGAGUUCGGUAGGGGAGUGUGGAAUUCCUGGUGGAGCGGUGAAAUGCGCAGAUAUCAGGAGGAACACCCGUAGCGAAGGCGGCACUCUGGGCCGAUACUGACACUGAGGAGCGGAAGCGUGGGGAGCGAACAGG